GCAGUACUGAAGGCAAGGCAACAGAGGCGGGAUCAGAAGGAAAUGUGAGGAAAAUGCAGAUGAUGAAAAGAGCAUUUUUUUGAAUGCCCCAGCAGUUGAGAAUAGCAGUACUGAAGGCAAGGCAACAGAGGCGGGAUCAGAAGGAAAAUGUGAUGAAAAUGCAGAUGAUGAAAAGAGCAUUUUUUUGAAUGCCCCAGCAGUUGAGCAGAAUAGCAGUACUGAAGGCAAGGCAACAGAGGCGGGAUCAGAAGGAAAUGUGAUGAAAAUGCAGAUGAUGAAAAGAGCAUUUUUUUGAAUGCCCCAGCAGUUGAGCAGAAUAGCAGUACUGAAGGCAAGGCAACAGAGGCGGGAUCAGAAGGAAAAUGUGAUGAGGGAAACAACACUGACAGUAAGGAGGCAUUGCAAGUUCAUCGAGCCUCCGGUUCCCAGUCGCCAGAAAACUCUCAGAAGACUGAAUACAA